GGGGCGGUAGCUCAGCGGUAGAGCGCGCACGUCUCUUCGACCCUCGUCGGAGUCCACCUUUCCUCUCUCAUGCACCGAUUCGGGCCUCGAAUGCCCAGCGGGGACUACAUUUUUAAUGUCGAGGUCGUCGGUUCGAGUCCGACCCGCUCCA
rnacentral:tRNA from 1 species